UUGAACUGAAGAGUUUGAUCAUGGCUCAGAUUGAACGCUGGCGGCAGGCCUAACACAUGCAAGUCGAGCGGAUGACGGGAGCUUGCUCCUUGAUUCAGCGGCGGACGGGUGAGUAAUGCCUAGGAAUCUGCCUGGUAGUG
rnacentral:rRNA from 1 species